AGUUUUUGAAACAUAACAUAUCCUAAGAUCAUAAAAUCAAAUUCUCUCUCUAGUGUGUACGAGUCACGCCGGCGCCUUCCCACGGUCCUCGCUAGUACCUGAAACACAUAACACAACAACUGUAAGCAUAAAUGCUUAGUGAGUUCCCCAAAAUACCGUAUACAACACAUACGCCACUCGAGGCUAUAAUACGACCCUCCGGUCGAUGUGUCUCAGCGGGACCCCUAGUCCCGUAGCUCGUUGGACCCUCUGGUCCGGUCAUAGCUCGUUGGACCCUCCGGUCCGGUCUAUAACAUCAUACAACACACAUAUAUCACAUAGCACAUAAUCUCAUACGUAACACAUAAGACCCUCUGGUCAACACAUAAUACCACUCUAGGUAACGUAUAGUGAGAAGACUCACCUCAGGUGUCUCGGUAAGUCUCUGUCUCGGUAGAAAUGUGAUGUAGCCUCCGCCUAAUCACAUAAAGUAAAUACUCUCAUAAAUAUAACUAUACUCCAACCUUUCUUAACAUCCUCAGUAGGGUAAAAGACCAUUUUACCCUUCUCUUGGCUUAAAGGCCUCACUAUUGACCAAACCCUAAAAGUCAACAAAAGUCAACGGCCAAACUUUGACCCGACUCGUCGAGUGCACUUGGGCGACUCGGCGAGUCUACACGUGUCCAUUGACUUUCUUAGUCCAUCUCUUGGCACGUUGAGUCCUUCCCCUUACUCGACGAGUCACACCUGACAUGAAUCGCGGGGCCACCCUGACUCAACUCGCCGAGUCUCAAGAACAACUCGACGAGUUCCGCCUUGAACUCCAGUCCCCUAACUCUCCCUGACUCACCGAGUUAUUUCCCCAACUCGGCAAAUCUACUCACUGAGUGAUUUACGGGAAACCCUCAUCCUACUCGCUGAGUCGUUCUUCGGACUCGGCGAGUUCACGCCAUGCACAAACUCCAUAGACCUCCUAGGGUCAGAUAUGUUCCUUUAAUUCAUAGAUCUGGCCUUCCCAAGCAUGAUAAUCACGUAAAGUUCAGACCUUGACACUCAUUUAUCAUCUACAUGGUCUAACUUAGUGAUUUAUCCCUAAAAAUGACAUCCUAAGCUCAUGGCUCCCAAAAUAACCCAUAAAGCUGCAAGGGUUAAGGUCUCUGGACCUCUUUGGGUCCAGAUCCAAAGCAUAGACUCGAGAAGGGACCAAUUGCUCCACUUAUCCAUCCUCUAAAGGGGUUAGAAAACCCUAACUCUAAUAAUCAACACCCAAAACUGAAGAAGGUCCGAAUGAAUACCUCAAUAUGAACUCUAUGAACUCUGAAGUCACCAAAAUCGCACCUCCUUCAGCCUCCUCUUGCCUUGGUCACCUCCUUGCAAAUACACCAACAAAAGGAUCAAGAAUGGCUUCUCCUUCCUCACAAUCGCUCUAGAUCUCUUAGGGGUUCUCUCUGGGGUUUGGUAGCCGCAAAUGACGGCCUUAAGGGCCUUUAAAUAGGUCCCAGACCCAAGAAAUUAGGGUUUCAUUAGACAGCAUGGACUCGUCGAGUCCACUAAUGAACUCGACGAUUCCGACUGUGAACCCGGAUACGAAUCCGCGACCACACUCGGCGAGUUUAAACACCAACUCGCCGAGUGUACUCACAAUCUCCAAAAAUAAAGGAGUAAAAUAUUAUACCUAGGAAUCCGAAUGUUUCAUUCUUUUUCUUUAUUUAUUUGUUCUUGGAUUUUCUUGUCAAUUGUUUUAUUAUUUGCUAAUCUAGUUUCUAAGUCAAUCCAUGACCUCCUAUUAAGAAUGUGUCUGUUAUUUGCUUCACGUCUUUUUAGUAUACUAGAAAUAUUAUUCCAAUCAUUGUUACCUUUAUGUGCUAAUGAACAUAUAGAUGUAUUCACAUUAAAUAAUUUACAACAAAAAUAAAAAACUUUAUCUACAUCUAUGGAAUAAACCAACCAUGUUCGUUCGUAUUUUUCUCUAUUUGGUAUAUUUUGCAUAUAAAGAGAUGUACUAAAGCUUCUUAAAUGUUGAUCUUUUAGAAAUUUAAAAUCAUAAAUUUUAAUAGGACCUUUUUCUACAAUUAAAUCUCUUAAAUUAGUACUAAUAUUAUUCCAUCUACUUGGAUCAUAUAUGUUUAAAGGCAUGUUAUUAUUUUCACUAUUAGUUUGUUCAUUAUCAAUUUUAAUAUUAGUUUGUUUGUUAUCAUUUUCACUAUUAGUUUGUUCGUUAUCAAUUUCAAUAUUAGUUUGUUCGUUAUCGUUUUCACUAUUAGUUUGUUCGUUAUCAAUUUCAAUAUUAGUUUGUUCGUUAUCAUUUUUACUAUUAGUUUGUUCGUUAUCAAUUUCAAUAUUCGUUUGUUUAAUAUUAUUAUCAACAUUAGUUUGUUCUGGUUCAUUAUCAACAUUAGUUUGUUCUUGUUCAUUAUCAACAUUUUUGUUUGUAGUUAAAUAUUUUAAAAAUGACCCUUUUUAUUUAUCUAUAAAAGCUUAUUCUUGCAUUUUUCGUUUCCUUUUUGAGGCACUGGAUUUGUAUUUUCUCUUUGACAUGAUUAUUAAUUAUUUAAUUAAUAAUAACUAUAAGUAUAGAAGAUACGAAUUAGGAUUAUACUGCCCCUGAGAUAAUGGAAAGCUCAAAAACAAUGGAAUCUGCCAAUCUGGAAUCAGUGAACAAUGGAAUCUGGAAUCUAUAAACAAUGGAAUCAAUGAACAAUGGAAUGGGCCAAUCUAGAAUAAAAAAUCAUAAAAUUGAAAAGAUUAACAACUUUGAUCAUUCAUGCCAUUUGGAUAAAUCCAAAAACAAUUAAAAUACAAAUUACAUAACUUGAUAAUAAAACAUUGUGUUUUAAUCAGAAGACAUUAUAUAACAGGACGUCAAACAUGAAUCUCAUUCAAAACAAAACCAAAUUAUGAGGCCAAACAACUUAAAAUUUUUAAGCAAUCAAGGUAUCGGUUAUGUGACACCAAAAAUCUAAAUUAAAAACUAGUUAGCUACUGAUCCUACAAGACUAACUUUGUAAUCAAGCGGAUCAAUAACUAGUUAACUACUGAUCCUACAAGACUAACUUUGUAAAUUAUCUACGUAUGUAUCGGUUCUUGAGUCCUUUAACAAAUGACAUAUGUGAUUGUGUCAUGUCCAAUUGUCCAUUGUGAAAAGAUUAACCCUAAUUAUUUGGCUACUAAACCUAAUUAGAUAAUCAUAUAUAAUAGAAAAAUCAAAACUGAAAAGUGAAAAUACAAUCAUAUUACCAUUUCAACUUUCAAUGACAGCAGAAUAGCAUCAGAUCAUCAACAGUGAAGAACAACAAUGCAUCGAUUCAGUGAAAAAGGAAGAAGAACGUGAAGAACAGUAGUGCAACGAUUAAUCAGCAAGAUAACGACUCAACAGAAGAGUAGAUUAGUAGAAGAAGCGAUUGGAGAAGGCCUAGAAUAGAGAAUGAGAAUGGAGAAAAAAAACGGAAGUUUAAUGGCCGUAUGUACUCGUCGCUUGAAGCCUUGAAGAAUCGAUCGGCACUAUGCAUGAUUUUUUUGGAAAUUGGAAACUACUAAGCUUGGAUCGAAAGAAAACAUGGCCCCUUACAAUNNNNNNNNNNNNNNNNNNNNNNNNNNNNNNNNNNNNNNNNNNNNNNNNNNNNNNNNNNNNNNNNNNNNNNNNNNNNNNNNNNNNNNNNNNNNNNNNNNNNNNNNNNNNNNNNNNNNNNNNNNNNNNNNNNNNNNNNNNNNNNNNNNNNNNNNNNNNNNNNNNNNNNNNNNNNNNNNNNNNNNNNNNNNNNNNNNNNNNNNNNNNNNNNNNNNNNNNNNNNNNNNNNNNNUAUAUAUAUAUAUAUAUAUAACCCCCAACCAUGUUAUGUUUACUUUACUACAUAGGGGCAUCCAACUGUUCGUCUAGAGUUGGAUCUUGUUGAGCUGGAAGAUCAAUUGACACAUCAAGUAUCCCUUCUAGAUAAAAUUGAUCCAAAGAUUGCCCCAUGUACAUAAAAAAUAUACUUAUAAAUGAAUUUUUCAUUAUGUAGGUGUAAAGUGUAAAAACAGUAUUUGUUGUGAUAAAUAUUUUCAAGAUGGAUCCUGAUUUCAUUGAGAAUGAAAAUAAGUAUGAAGACCUGUGUACCACUCGGUUCCUGGUACAUAUCUUAAUUAAAGUAAGUUUAUGUUUUGCUUUGGGACUCAGCGAGUUGGAGGCCUAACUCGUCGAGUAGACUCGAUUGUUGACCGGGAGUUUAAUGAUCUACUUGACAAGUCGGGAGACCGACUCAACGAGUAGAAACUGUCUGGAUGAAACCCUAAUAUUUGGGGUUUGCACCCUAUUUAAACAACUUAUAACGCCCCAACCCAGCCUCCAUUGUUCCUCCUAACCCAGAGAAAGCCCUAACUCGAACCCUAAGCCUCUUUUGAGUGUUCUUCAGCUUUUUAGUGACUUUUGUUUGCAUUUGAAGUUGGAAGAGAAGAGGGAAGCUUGGGAGUUCAAGUGGAAGCUAGUAAAUCCAGAGGUUUUGGUUUAUUCUCAAUUCAUUUAAGGGAAAAAGCUUGAACCUUGAGUAUCUAUCUCUUAGAUCUUGUUUUGGGGCUAUUUUCUACCCUUUUUAUGAGUUUGUGAAGUUAUAAUCGGAUUUUGUGAGUGUGUUUGGAGUUACACUUCAGAUCUGGAACCAUUGCGGGUUCCCAUGGCAUAAAGGUGCCAACUUUAUGGCCAUGAGAGACCCAUGCUUCUUAUAUACGUCUUUUAUGGUUUUUUGAGCCAAAAACCCCAUGCAUGGACGUCAAGAUUGGAACUUUAUGUAUAAAAUGGACCUUAGGAGGUCAGAUCUAUGGUUUUGAUGCAUUAAGACCCAUUGUAAUCGACUGAAUAGUUUUAGACAAAGAGGGACACGGCGAGUCGCUUAGGUGACUCGGCGAGUCGGGUCGCAUUUCCCCUCGAAUGUCUUCUGGUAAUGGUCUUUGGUUGAGUGGAAGGAACACUCAGCAUGUUAAGGAUUUGUUAUGGACUUGAAGAUCGAAGGACUCGACGAGUUUAAGGAGGAACUCGGCGAGUUCAAGGCAAUGUCCCAACCACAUGAAGACGGACCUGACGAGUUCAAGGAUGAACUCGGCGAGUCAUAGACUGAACACCUUCAUACGGAUGAACAUGGACUCGACGAGUUCAAGGAAGAACUCGGCGAGUCAGUAGAAGAAGGUCCCGAUGUUUUGUUGAAGGAGAACUUGUCGAGCACUUGCUAGACUCAACGAGUAGGGACGAGGUUGUAAUAUUUCGUGGAAGUGGGGACUCAACGAGUUGGUGGACCAACUCGGCGAGUCGAGUCAACCAGAUGUUGACUUUGACCAAGGUUUUGACCUUGACUUUAACUUGAACUUGAGUUGACCCUAGUACGGGUUAUGAGUAUGAAAUGGUAACUUAGAAAGGAUGUUGUGUAGGGAUCGAGGAGUCGAGAAGAUUUGAUUUCUGUACCGAGGAUAGUGCAGACACUACACGACAUUGAGGUGAGUUAAGUAGAAGUGGGUCUAAGGCACCAAGGUCGACCCACUAGUAGUUGAUUACAGUGGAGAUGAUUGUCUAUGUGAUAAUUGUCUGGUUUGCUAUUAUUUGAUGUGUUCUUUGUGCCAGUGUGAUAUGUUGUAUGUGCUAGUGGUAGUAGGAAGGGGAAUAGUCCCCGAUUUGGUCGUUAGGACCGAAGGGUAGGUCGGACACCCCAGAUAUGUCUGACUGCAUGAUUAUGAUAUAUUAUUAUGUGAUAGUAGUAAUGGGUGAAAUAGUCCCCGUGACCGGGUGAGAUAGACCGGAGGGUAGGCAGGCACCCCAGAAUGGCCUGACACGUGUAGGUCAGCACCUAAGAAUGGCUUGACAUGGGUAGGUUAGCACCCCAGAAUGGCUUGUGUAGGGUUUCAAAGUACUCCAUGUAUGAUGGCAAUGUGCCCCCUUAAUGAAGUGUAGGUUAAAAGCCCAAGACGUAUAUUUUCCCUAUAAAUAGUAAUGUAUUAUUCAUAAUUAGGGUUAAGAGUGAGACAAAAUGUAGCCUCCACGUUGUGAGGUUUCUUGUAGAGUUAGAUUCUUAUUCUUAAAGUGUAAUCUGUUCCUCAUGUUUUGAAUAAAUCGAGUGAUCAUUCGACAUAUCUUCGUAUUUGUGUUUGUUCUUAUUUUCCGCAUCUUGUUCAUCAAAUCACAAUUAGGGUUUUAAUCCCAACAAAUGGUAUCAGAGCGGGUCUUUGAAGAUCUAUUGAUUUUUGAAGUAUCGGUUGUUGAUUUGAUGUUUUUUUGCAAAAAUUAUUGAAGAUUUUUGGUAUUUUGGCAUCUUGGAAUCAAAAUUAUAUUCAAGUUACUGUUCAUGGAGAUUUAUGCUGUUCAUCUACUAUUCAUCUAGGUAAUUUAUUCUGAUUCAUAUUCUGUUUGUAUUUUCUAAUUAGAUAUGACCGAUUGUUCAAUCCAAGGCUAUUGCUUCCCAGAUCUAGGUCCAUUGAUUAAGCCCAAUUGUUUUUGACCUAUUGUUAUUCAUUCUAUGAAUCACUGUUCUUAAGCCCAAUGUAUUCGACUUUUGUUCAUAUGGUUUUGAGCUCGUUAUUAUCAAUCUCUUUUCACGGAUUUAUUCCGAUUCAUAUGCUGUUUGUAUUUUCUAACCAGGAUAUGAUCGAUUGUUCAAUCCAAGGCUAUUGCUUCCGAGAUCUAGGUCCAUUGAUUAAGCUCAAUUGUUUUUGACCUAUUAUUAUUCAUUCGAUGAAUCACUGUUCUUAAUCCCAAUAUAUUCGACUUUUGUUCAUAUGGUUUUGAGCCCGUUAUUAUCGAUAUUUGUUCACGGAUUUAGCGUUCUUUGAUAUCGUAUAUUCAGUCGACUCAUCUCAUAUCUGUAAAUGUCGUUUCUUGGAAUACUUUGAUGUCGUAUAUUGUGUUUUUCCCUCACUGUUAUUGAAUUAUGUUCUUGAGUCGAAAUUCCUGAACAAAACCAUUCUCAAAAUUGAUUUUGAUUCUCUUAUUUGAUUAUAUUUUCGGUCUAAUAUAUCAUAUUCCAAAAUUGAUUUAUGUUUGGAUCGCUAGUCGUUUUUGUUCUUGUUCUGGUGUUUUGUUCUUAACAUCGAUUCUGGUUGACAACUGGUAAUGAUUUCUCUAAAUCAUUUCUUGGUAUCAUCGGCUGUGAUUUUGGAUCUAGAGUUGUUCUUCAAUGUUGAUACUUUUUUUUUUGAGAACCGAUGACAUACAGACGAAGAACAGAUGGCAUUUUUGCUGAUUGAUAUGUGAUGUUUGAUUUGGAAAUCGACCUGUUUAGCUUGGAGAUUAAGUUGAGAAACAUUGAUUUUGUUGUUUAGUGAUGAUCGAUUUUGGUAGUCAAAGCAGAAAAGUCAAAAUUAGGAAGAACGGCCUCACAAGCAAUGUAAUCGGAUUUAAAGGUCUGGAAUCGCAACAUUCAUCUGCAAUCGGAGGAGAUUGAACAAAUGUUCUUACGAGUCAAGCCUAAAAGUUGAAUUAGCUUGAAUGUCCUUACCUGCGAACAUUAUCGGAUUCGUAGCUCCUUGAAACAUUAGAAAAAGCGAACCUCUUGAUUCGUUGUUGACAUAGAUUCGCUUUGGGGUAUAAUCGACGGCCUUGGAACGAACCUGGAAUGAACUUGGGUUCGCAUGAUUAUGCUUGGAACGAAUGAAGGGGGGACAGAAAACGAACUUGUGUUCGGAUUUGUCUCAAGAAUAUGUGAUUGGAUUCGAUUUGGAUAAGGAUUUGCAUUUGGUCUGUGAUCUGUUGAUUUGAAGCGAAAGGUGAUGGAAUCGAAUUCACAUCGUGAUGCUCGAAACGAACCUAGUUUCAAAUUUGUAUCAGUGAGCUUGGAAUGAAAGUUGAUGAAAUUGAUUGGAUUUGUAUAUGUGGUUUCGUUUGUGAACACUUAUAUGAGUCACCGAUCCAGU
rnacentral:lncRNA from 1 species